UUCCUGAUCAACGCUAAUCGGAUCAGGGUAAGUCGGGUCCUAAGGCUCAGCCGAACGGCGAGGCCGAUGGCAGAACCGGUUAAUAUUCCGGUACUACCUGUGGGAGUGACGUGGAGACGGAGUCGUGACAGCGCCGCGGACUGACGGAAUAGUCCGUUGAAGGGUGUAGAUGCUGAUUGUUCCAGGCAAAUCCGGAGCAAGAGUCGAACCUGAUAGUAUGGAGCGUUCUUAGAACAAUCCAAUAGUGCGUGUAAUCAUACUUCCAAGAAAAUCCGCUAAACUUAAUCCUGCAGGUACCCGUACCGCAAACGGACACACGUAGUCGGGUUGAAUAUACUAAGGCGCUUGAGUGAUUCACGGUUAAGGAACUAGGCAAACUGACCCUGUAACUUCGGGAUAAAGGGUCCUCGCUUAACGGCGAGGCGCAGAGAAUAGGUCCAGGCAACUGUUUAACAAAAACACAGGGCUGUGCAAAAUUGAAAGAUGAAGUAUACAGCCUGACACCUGCCCGGUGCUGGAAGGUUAAGAGGAGAUGUCAUCGCAAGAGAAGCAUUGAAUUGAAGCCCCAGUAAACGGCGGCCGUAACUAUAACGGUCCUAAGGUAGCGAAAUUCCUUGUCGGGUAAGUUCCGACCUGCACGAAUGGUGUAAUGAUCUGGACGCUGUCUCAACCGUGAGCUCAGUGAAAUUGUAGUAUCGGUGAAGAUGCCGAUUACCCGCGAUGGGACGAAAAGACCCCGUGAACCUUUACUAUAGCUUAACAUUGAAUUUGGGUAAUUGAUGUGUAGGAUAGGCCGGAGACUUUGAAGCGCAGACGCCAGUUUGUGUGGAGUCGCUGUUGAAAUACGGCCCUUUGAUUAUUUGAGUUCUAACCCGUUGUUACGGGGACACUGUUUGGUGGGUAGUUUGACUGGGGUGGUCGCCUCCAAAAGUGUAACGGAGGCUUCUAAAGGUGCCCUCAGGACGAUUGGUAACCGUCCGUAGAGUGUAAUGGCAUAAGGGCGCUUGACUGGGAGACAUACAAGUCGAUCAGGUAGGAAACUAGAGCAUAGUGAUCCGGUGUUUCCGCAUGGAAGGGACAUCGCUCAAAGGAUAAAAGGUACUCCGGGGAUAACAGGCUGAUC
rnacentral:rRNA from 1 species